rnacentral:rRNA from 1 species
CCGGCGCACGGGUGAGUAACGCGUAUGCAACCUGCCCGUUUCAGCGGGAUAACCCGGAGAAAUCCGGCCUAAUACCGCAUGUGGCCGAGGGAGGCAUCUUCUUUCGGCCAAAGGAGGCGACUCCGGAGACGGAUGGGCAUGCGUGACAUUAGCUAGUUGGCGGGGUGACGGCCCACCAAGGCGACGAUGUCUAGGGGUUCUGAGAGGAAGGUCCCCCACACUGGUACUGAGACACGGACCAGACUCCUACGGGAGGCAGCAG